UACGUAGGGUGCAAGCGUUGUCCGGAAUUAUUGGGCGUAAAGAGCUCGUAGGCGGUCUGUUGCGUCCGUUGUGAAAACUCGGGGCUUAACCCCGAGCCUGCAGUGGAUACGGGCAGACUAGAGGUAGGUAGGGGAGAAUGGAAUUCCCGGUGUAGCGGUGAAAUGCGCAGAUAUCGGGAGGAACACCGGUGGCGAAGGCGGUUCUCUGGGCCUUACCUGACGCUGAGGAGCGAAAGCGUGGGGAGCGAACAGG
rnacentral:rRNA from 1 species